UACGAAGGGGGCUAGCGGUGCUCGGAAUUACUGGGCGUAAAGGGUGCGUAGGCGGAUAUUUAAGUCGGGGGUGAAAGCCCAGGGCUCAACCCUGGAACUGCCUUCGAUACUGGAUAUCUAGAGUAUGGGAGAGGUGUGUGGAACUCCGAGUGUAGAGGUGAAAUUCGUAGAUAUUCGGAAGAACACCAGUGGCGAAGGCGACACACUGGCCCAUUACUGACGCUGAGGCUCGAAAGCGUGGGGAGCAAACAGG
rnacentral:rRNA from 1 species